GAUGAACGCUGGCGGCGUGCCUAAUACAUGCAAGUCGAGCGAACAGAUGAGGAGCUUGCUCCUCUGACGUUAGCGGCGGACGGGUGGGUAACACGUGGAUAACCUACCUAUAAGACUGGGAUAACUUCGGGAAACCGGAGCUAAUACCGGAUAAUAUAUUGAACCGCAUGGUUCAAUAGUGAAAGACGGUUUUGCUGUCACUUAUAGAUGGAUCCGCGCCGCAUUAGCUAGUUGGUAAGGUAACGGCUUACCAAGGCAACGAUGCGUAGCCGACCUGAGAGGGUGAUCGGCCACACUGGAACUGAGACACGGUCCAGACUCCUACGGGAGGCAGCAGUAGGGAAUCUUCCGCAAUGGGCGAAAGCCUGACGGAGCAACGCCGCGUGAGUGAUGAAGGUCUUCGGAUCGUAAAACUCUGUUAUUAGGGAAGAACAAAUGUGUAAGUAACUAUGCACGUCUUGACGGUACCUAAUCAGAAAGCCACGGCUAACUACGU
rnacentral:rRNA from 1 species